rnacentral:rRNA from 1 species
AUUGAACGCUGGCGGCAGGCUUAACACAUGCAAGUCGAGCGGGGAAAGGUAGCUUGCUACCUGACCUAGCGGCGGACGGGUGAGUAAUGCUUAGGAAUCUGCCUAUUAGUGGGGGACAACAUCUCGAAAGGGAUGCUAAUACCGCAUACGUCCUACGGGAGAAAGCAGGGGACCUUCGGGCCUUGCGCUAAUAGAUGAGCCUAAGUCGGAUUAGCUAGUUGGUGGGGUAAAGGCCUACCAAGGCGACGAUCUGUAGCGGGUCUGAGAGGAUGAUCCGCCACACGGGGACUGGGGCAGGGCCCAGACCCCUACGGGAGGACGCAGGGGGGAAUUUUGGAAAAGGGGGGGAACCCUGACCCAGCCAUGCCGCGUGUUUGAAAAAGGCUUUUGGGUUGUAAAGCACUUUAAGGGGGGGGGGGGCUACCGAGAUUAAUACUUUGGGAUAGUGGACGUUACUCGCAAAAAAAGCACCGGCAAACUCUGG